CGGCUGCUGCGCGGUUCGAUAAGGUCGCUGAAGUCCCCGGGCCCAAUGCUUAUCUCUAGGGAACUGCCUCUGUCGAGGUCGUGGCUUCGUUACGUGGUGCCCACCUGCGUUUGCAGGGCCAGAGAGGACGAGCAUAUGACCGACGGCCGAGGUGGCACCGC
rnacentral:other from 1 species